rnacentral:lncRNA from 1 species
GCUAGUUCCCAUUUUAUGGCGUGAUGCUGAUCAGUGACGGAUAUACUAUUGAGGUAGAUGUUAGUAUAUUGUCAAGCUAAAAUGUUGCACUAAACUCUCCCUUGGGAUAUUAGAUUGACAUUUUAAGUAUGGAGGUUUCUAUGCUUUUCUUUUGGUACUUUUAUUCUUCAAUCACGAGAUCAUGCAAUUUAAGCCGGUCCCCAUGCCAAGACUGGACUCUUUUUUUUUUAAAAAAUAUAAAUAUAAGGGGGGCCUACUUCUUUCAUUUGCAUCUGAGUCAGUUUUUUAACAUGUAAGCAUGUUAGUCUCUGUCCUAUGAAUGUACUGAAUGGUGCUAUCAAUUUGCAGGUGGAUGACAGCGGCGCUAAUUGACUUCUACAUCAACGUCGUUGCUCUUUCUGUUUGUUUUGUAUUUUAUUAGAAGGGAACUCUUGAAGAAUUAUUUUUAUUUUGAAGACAUCACCUCAGUUAAUUUGCACGUGUAAAGUUAUCGAAUGGCUGAAUCAGAGGUAAUUCUUUACUCAUACAAUGUGAAAUAUAUUUUGUUUUCUUUUGAUGUUAUUUUUCUUAUUCAUUAUUUAUU